rnacentral:rRNA from 1 species
AGAGUUUGAUCAUGGCUCAGGACGAACGCUGGCGGCGUGCUUAACACAUGCAAGUCGAGCGGGGUUUAUCGGAUUAGCUUGCUAAACUGAUAAACCUAGCGGCGGACGGGUGAGUAACGCGUGAGCAAUCUGCCUCAUACAGGGGGAUAACAGGUGGAAACACCUGCUAAUACCGCAUAAGACUCCACUACCGCAUGGUAGAGAAGUCAAAGGGAUUACCGGUAUGAGAUGAGCUCGCGUCCCAUUAGCUAGUUGGUAGGGUAAAGGCCUACCAAGGCGACGAUGGGUAGCCGACCUGAGAGGGUGAUCGGCCACACUGGGACUGAGACACGGCCCAGACUCCUACGGGAGGCAGCAGUGGGGAAUAUUGCACAAUGGAGGGAACUCUGAUGCAGCAACGCCGCGUGAGUGAAGAAGGUUUUCGGAUCGUAAAACUCUGUCAUUGGGGAAGAAUAAAUGACGGUACCCAAUGAGGAAGCCCCGGCUAACUACGUGCCAGCAGCCGCGGUAAUACGUAGGGGGCGAGCGUUGUCCGGAAUUACUGGGCGUAAAGGGUACGUAGGCGGCUAUAUAAGUCAGGUGUGAAAUACCAGUGCUUAACACUGGAAUUGCAUUUGAAACUGUGUAGCUUGAGUGCAGGAGAGGGAAGUGGAAUUCCUAGUGUAGCGGUGAAAUGCGUAGAUAUUAGGAGGAACACCAGUGGCGAAGGCGACUUCCUGGACUGUAACUGACGCUGAGGCGCGAAAGCGUGGGUAGCAAACAGGAUUAGAUACCCUGGUAGUCCACGCCGUAAACGAUGGGUACUAGGUGUGGGUAGUUCACUCUAUCCGUGCCGCAGCAAACGCAAUAAGUACCCCGCCUGGGGAGUACGGCCGCAAGGUUGAAACUCAAAUGAAUUGACGG